AACACUGUUUCUAUGUAUAUAUAUAUAUAUGUAUUAAUUGGGUUAGCCCCCAAAAUAUUGUGACAUAUAAAAAAAGACAACUCUGUUCCGCAGAGUAGCUGUUGACAUUAUAGUUGCGCAGGAACUUUGUUGACUCUAGAGAACCUCGGGCAAAUUGCACAUCCCCGUGGCGGCGACUUUGCAUGCGGAUGUCAUCUGUAUCAACUUUCCAUGCUAGUUUCUGCGCCUACCAUGGUGACCACGGGUAACGGGGAAUCAGGGUUCCAUUCCA